GAUGAUGUGGCUGACUAGAAGGCGGCGGAUUGUAAGUCCGUAUCAUAGAAGUGCAAAUCUUUUUAUCAUCA
rnacentral:tRNA from 1 species